rnacentral:rRNA from 1 species
GACGUAGGGCGCGAGCGUUGUCCGGAUUUAUUGGGCGUAAAGAGCUCGUAGGCGGCUUGUCGCGUCGUCCGUGAAAACUUGGGGCUCAACCCCAAGCUUGCGGUCGAUACGGGCAGGCUGGAGUUCGGUAGGGGAGACUGGAAUUCCUGGUGUAGCGGUGAAAUGCGCAGAUAUCGGCAGGAACGCCGGUGGCGAAAGCGGCGUGCGUGGGUCCUUCCUGACGCUGAGGCGCGAAAGCCAGGGGAGCGAACGGG